UGAGGAAUAUUGGGCAAUGCCCGCAAGGGUGACCCAGCAACGCCGCGUGGAGGAUGAAUGUCGUAAGAUUGUAAACUCCUGUUAGAGGGGAAGAAUAGUACCGGUUGGACCGGUAUAUGACUGUACCCUCAGAGAAAGCCCCGGCUAACUACGUGCCAGCAGCCGCGGUAAUACGUAGGGGGCAAGCGUUGUCCGGAUUUACUGGGUGUAAAGGGCGCGCAGGCGGGAUAAAAAGUCAGUGGUGAAAUCCUACAGCUUAACUGUAGAACUGCCUUUGAUACUUGUACGCUUGAGUUCGGGAGAGGGAGACGGAAUUCCAGGUGUAGUGGUGAAAUACGUAGAUAUCUGGAAGAACACCAGUUGCGAAGGCGGUCUCUUGGUCCGACACUGACGCUGAGGCGCGAAAGCGUGGGGAGCAAACA
rnacentral:rRNA from 1 species